rnacentral:sRNA from 1 species
UGGUAGCGCGUCUGACUCCAGAUCAGAAGGUUGCGUGUUCGAUUCA